AAAAAUUUAAUUAAAUAUAUUAAAGUAGUAAUAGCUAUGUUCUUGAAAUUUAAAAAAUUUGGCGGUAUUUUAGUCUAUUCAGAGGAACCUGUUUUGUAAUCGAUAAUCCACGUUGUACCUUACUUAAUCUUGUUUUAAAUAAUAAAAUAAUUAAAAUUAGUUUAUAUAUCGUUGUUUAUAGAAUAUUUUAUAAAAAUAAUAAUUUUCAAAAUUUUAUAUUAAAAAUUAUAUCAGAUCAAGAUGUAGCUUAUGUUUAAGUUUAUAAUGGGUUACAAUUAUUUUAGUUAUUGGAAAUUAAUUUAAAAUAAGUUAUUAGAAAUUGGAUUUGAAAGUAAAUUUAUAUAGAUAAGUAAAUUGAUUUUAGCUCUAAAAUAUG
rnacentral:rRNA from 1 species